rnacentral:rRNA from 1 species
UACAGAGGUCUCGAGCGUUAGGCGGAAUCACUGGGCUUAAAGCGUGUGUAGGUGGAUGCCUGAGUACCUUGUGAAAUCCCACAGCUUAACUGUGGAACUGCUUGGUAUACUGGGUGUCUUGAGUCACUCAGGGGCGAGCGGAACAAAUGGUGGAGCGGUGAAAUGCGUAGAUAUCAUUUGGAACGCCAAUGGUGAAAACAGCUCGCUGGGGGUGCACUGACACUGAGACACGAAAGCCAGGGGAGCGAACGGG